rnacentral:rRNA from 1 species
AAUAGAUACCCCGGUAGUCCACGCCCUAAACGAUGCUCACUAGGUGUUGGGGAAGCGAUUCCUUGGUACCGUAGCUAACGCGUGAAGUGAGCCGCCUGGGGAGUACGGCCGCAAGGUUAAAACUCAAAGGAAUUGACGGGGACCCGCACGAGCGGUGGAUGAUGUGGAUUAAUUCGAUGCAACGCGAACAACCUUACCUACCCUUGACAUGUCCGGAAGCCUGCUGAAAGGCGGGGUGCUCGAAAGAGAACCGGAACACAGGUGCUGCAUGGCUGUCGUCAGCUCGUGUCGUGAGAUGUUGGGUUAAGUCCCGCAACGAGCGCAACCCUUGUCCCUAGUUGCUACGCAAGGGCACUCUAGGGAGACUGCCGGUGACAAACCGGAGGAAGGUGGGGAUGACGUCAAGUCCUCAUGGCCCUUAUGGGUAGGGCUUCACACGUCAUACAAUGGACGGUACAGAGGGUUGCCAACCCGGCGAGGGGGGAGCCGAAUCCCAGAAAGCCGUUCGUAGUCCGGAUCGCAGUCUGCAACUCGACUGCGUGAAGUCGG